rnacentral:rRNA from 1 species
UUCAGGCCUAACACAUGCAAGUCGAGCGCGAAAGGGGGGGCAACUCCCCGAGUAGAGCGGCGCACGGGUGAGUAACGCGUGGGUAACCUACCCCCGGGCGGGGGAUAACCACUCGAAAGGGUGGCUAAUACCGCAUGAGACCACGGGGCCUUCGGGUCCUGGGGCCAAAGGCGGCACCGGCUUGCCGGUGCUGUCACCUGGGGAUGGGCCCGCGUACGAUUAGCUAGUUGGUAGGGUAACGGCCUACCAAGGCUGCGAUCGUUAGCUGGUCUGAGAGGAUGACCAGCCACACUGGAACUGGAACACGGUCCAGACUCCUACGGGAGGCAGCAGUGAGGAAUAUUGCGCAAUGGGGGAAACCCUGACGCAGCAACGCCGCGUGGGUGAAGAAGGCCUUCGGGUCGUAAAGCCCUUUCGGACGGGACGAACGCUCCGCGGUGACAACCCGCGGAGCCUGACGGUACCGUAGGAAGAAGCACCGGCUAACUCCGUGCCAGCAGCCGCGGUAAUACGGAGGGUGCAAGCGUUGUUCGGAAUUACUGGGCGUAAAGCGCGUGUAGGCGGCCUGAUAAGUCAGGUGUGAAAGCCCUCGGCUUAACCGGGGAAGUGCAUCUGAAACUGUCUGGCUUGAGUACGGGAGAGGGAGGCGGAAUUCCCAGUGUAGAGGUGAAAUUCGUAGAUAUUGGGAGGAACACCGGUGGCGAAAGCGGCCUCCUGGACCGAUACUGACGCUGAGACGCGAAAGCGUGGGG